AUCUUUCUAGUAUAAAAAGUACUAGUGACUUCCAAUCACUUAGACUUGGUUAAAGUCCAAGGAAGGAUA
rnacentral:tRNA from 1 species